UCUUUGGAAGCGAAGCUCCACCGAAUAGGCCAACGUAAAUUUGGCCGAGUUGGGACCUUACAUUGGAAAACAAGAUGUGAAAGUGCGCUCCAAUCAAUCUUUACUGUUUGUUAGAGGACAGCUGUGUGGAAACUCACAGACGCUUGAAUCCCGUCUACGAACCCCAAGAUAAGCACCUCUACUCUUAGAGGCAAGAAAUGCAACUCCGAGGAUGGUACCUUUAAAGGGGCCACAAGGCAAGAAAUUGCAGUGGUCUCUGUGAGCUAAAAGAAGUCCCCAAACCAACACUUACCAAGAUAAUAGGGAACCUCAGUCCUACAACCAAAGGAGCUGAAUUCUGCCAACCACCUCAAAGCUUGGAAGAAGACCCUGAACUGCAAAUGAGAAGAGUAGCAGUGUGGCUGACACCUGGAUUGGAGGCUUGCGAGGCCCUGAGCAGAGGAUCCACUUCAGCCUGGACUCCUGACUCACAAAAACGAUGAGAUAAUAAAUUUGUGGGAUUUUUUCAUGAGCAAAAUUUUCUUAUUAAGAAGAAGAUGCUCAGGUCAGAAUGCAAACAUGCUCCAGACAUCAAUUCUCACAGUUGAAAAGAAAGUGCAUAUCACCUACUGCCCUUUAAAAGAGAGGGUUUAUUUGCUUCUAAAACUGCAUUUUUCCUCUUUCAAAGGAGAUUUUAAGGCCAAGGAAAUUUGUGUUUUAAUUGACUAAGUUUGUGUCAAUUUGUUACAAAGC